rnacentral:rRNA from 1 species
GACGAACGCUGGCGGCGUGCUUAACACAUGCAAGUCGAACGCUGAAGCUCAGCUUUUGUUGGGUGGAUGAGUGGCGAACGGGUGAGUAACACGUGAGUAACCUGCCUCCUUCUUUGGGAUAACGCCCGGAAACGGGUGCUAAUACUGGAUAUUCACUGGUCUUCGCAUGGGGGUUGGUGGAAAGGGUUUUUCUGGUGGGGGAUGGGCUCGCGGCCUAUCAGCUUGUUGGUGGGGUGAUGGCCUACCAAGGCUUUGACGGGUAGCCGGCCUGAGAGGGUGACCGGUCACAUUGGGACUGAGAUACGGCCCAGACUCCUACGGGAGGCAGCAGUGGGGAAUAUUACACAAUGGGCGCAAGCCUGAUGCAGCGACGCCGCGUGAGGGAUGGAGGCCUUCGGGUUGUGAACCUCUUUCGCUCAUGGUCAAGCCGCAACAAUGGUUGUGGUGAGGGUAGUGGGUAAAGAAGCGCCGGCUAACUACGUG